UCGUCAGCUCGUGCCGUGAGGUGUUGGGUUAAGUCCCGCAACCGAGCGCAACCCCCUACCUGCCAGUUACUAACAGGUAAUGCUGAGGACUCUGGCGGAACUGCCGGUGACAAACCGGAGGAAGGUGGGGAUGACGUCAAGUCAUCAUGGCCCUUAUGUCCAGGGCUACACACGUGCUACAAUGGGUGAGACAGAGUGACGCGAAGCCGCGAGGUGGAGCAAAUCGCAGAAAAUCAUCCGUAGUUCGGAUUGGAGUCUGAAACCCGACUCCAUGAAGGUGGAAUCGCUAGUAAUCGCGCAUCAGCAUGGCGCGGUGAAUACGUUCCCGGGCCUU
rnacentral:rRNA from 1 species